GACGAACGCUGGCGGCGUGCCUAAUACAUGCAAGUCGAGCGGAAGUUGAAGAGCUUGCUCUUCAACUUUAGCGGCGGGCGGGUGAGUAACACGUGGGCAACCUGCCCUGCAGAUCGGGAUAACUCCGGGAAACCGGUGCUAAUACCGAAUAGUUUUCGCCACCUCCUGGUGGCGUACGGAAAGACGGUUUCGGCUGUCACUGCAGGAUGGGCCCGCGGCGCAUUAGCUAGUUGGGGGGGUAACGGCCCACCAAGGCAACGAUGCGUAGCCGACCUGGGAGGGUGAUCGGCCACACUGGGACUGAGACACGGCCCAGACUCCUACGGGAGGCAGCAGUAGGGAAUCUUCCGCAAUGGACGAAAGUCUGACGGAGCAACGCCGCGUGAGUGACGAAGGUUUUCGGAUCGUAAAACUCUGUUGUGAGGGAAGAACAAGUACCACUUAACUACUGGUACCUUGACGGUACCUCACCAGAAAGCCACGGCUAACUACGUGCCAGCCGCCGCAGUAAUAC
rnacentral:rRNA from 1 species